rnacentral:lncRNA from 1 species
ACAUACCACACACAAAAAUAAUAUGCAAAAGAAGUGGCCUAAUCUCAUCCAUACUUAUGUUGAUUUUUCAACCAACUAGCCUUAGGACUUUGAGAUAUCAUAGGUCAAAUGAGAUGAAUGCAUAAAGAAUGAGAAUGAGAUGAAGAGGGAGGGGAGUGGAUCAAAACUCAAAUUGGUCAAAGGAGGACUUUUACCAAAUUAAUAUCAUCCAUUCAUUUUUGGAGAUGGAAUGUA